CCUACGGGAGGCUGCAGUCGAGGAUCUUCCCCAAUGGGCGCAAGCCUGAGGGAGCGACGCCGCGUGCGGGAUGAAGGCCUUCGGGUUGUAAACCGCUUUAGGAGGGGAGGAAGCCGCAAGGUUGACCUAUCCUCAAAAUAAGCACGGGCUAAGUUCGUGCCAGCAGCCGCGGUAAGACGAACCGUGCGAACGUUGUUCGGAAUCACUGGGCUUAAAGGGCGCGUAGGCGGUCUAUCAAGUCGGGGGUGAAAUCUUUCGGCUCAACCGGAAAACUGCCUUCGAUACUGAUAGGCUGGAGGGAGGUAGGGGUUGCGGGAACUACCAGUGGAGCGGUGAAAUGCGUUGAUAUUGGUAGGAACGCCGGUGGCGAAAGCGCGCAACUGGACCUCUUCUGACGCUGAGGCGCGAAAGCUAGGGGAGCAAACGGGAUUAGAUACCCU
rnacentral:rRNA from 1 species